rnacentral:tRNA from 1 species
AUUCUUAUAGUAUAAUUAAAUAUUUUAGUUUGUCGUACUAAAGAUCUCUCUCGGAGUAAGAAUU